GAUGAACGCUGACAGAAUGCUUAACACAUCAGCAAUUGAUUGGUGGCGGACGGGUGAGUAACGCGUAAAGAACUUGCCUCACAGCUAGGGACAACAUUUGGAAACGAAUGCUAAUACCUAAUCCUGUGAGAGAGGUUUGCGUCCCAUUAGCUAGUUGGAGAGGUAACGGCUCACCACGGCGAGGAUGGGUAGCCGGCCUGAGAGGGUGAGCGGCCACAAGGGGACUGAGAAACGGCCCUUAGGUCUACGGGAGGCAGGAGUGGGGAAUAUUGGACAAGGGACCAAAGUCUGAACCAGCAAUUCUGUGUGUAAGAUGAAGUUGUCGGAAUGUAGAGUGCUUUCAGUUGGGAAGCGGUACCAACAGAAGAAGUGACGGCUAAAUACGUGCCAGCAGCCGCGGUAAUUC
rnacentral:rRNA from 1 species